rnacentral:rRNA from 1 species
UACGUAGGGUGCGAGCGUUAAUCGGAAUUACUGGGCGUAAAGCGUGCGCAGGCGGUUUUGUAAGCCAGAUGUGAAAUCCCCGGGCUUAACCUGGGAAUGGCAUUUGGGACUGCAAGGCUGGAGUGCGGCAGAGGAGACUGGAAUUCCUGGUGUAGCAGUGAAAUGCGUAGAUAUCAGGAGGAACACCGAAUGGCGAAGGCAGGUCUCUGGGCUGAACACUGACGCUCAUGCAACGAAAGCGUGGGAGCAACAGG